rnacentral:rRNA from 1 species
GACGUAGGGCGCGAGCGUUGUCCGGAUUUAUUGGGCGUAAAGAGCUCGUAGGCGGCUUGUCGCGUCGUCCGUGAAAACUUGGGGCUCAACCCCAAGCUUGCGGUCGAUACGGGCAGGCUAGAGUUCGGUAGGGGAGAUCGGAAUUCCUGGUGUAGCGGUGAAAUGCGCAGAUAUCAGGAGGAACACCGGUGGCGAAGGCGGAUCUCUGGGCCGAUACUGACGCUGAGGAGCGAAAGCGUGGGGAGCGAACAGG